rnacentral:lncRNA from 1 species
CUGGUGGCGGCGGGGAGAACAAUGGAGGGGGUGGAGGUGGUGAAUUUGGUGGUGGAGGUGGGGACCUCACACAAUAUAUUGGCGCAGGUGGUGGGGGUGAAGGGGGCGGUGGUGACGGAUAAGUAGGUGGCGGGGGUGAAGGUGGUGGAGGUGAUGGAUAUGUAGGGGGUGGGGGUGAAGGAGGUGGUGGUGAGGGCGGUGGAGGUGAUGGUGGUGGAGGAGGUGGAGGUGGAGAGUAAACAGGCGGUGGUGGUGGCGGAGGCGAAGGAGGAGGAGGCGAGGGCGGUGGUGGGGGAGGUGAAAAAACUGGUGGGGGAGGGGGAGGUGGAGAGAAAACGGGUGGUGGAGGUGAAGGAGGGGGAGGGGGAGGGAGAGGGGGAGAGGAUAUAGGGGGUGGAGGUGGUGGUAGUGAUGGUGGUGGCAAAGCAACAGGGGGAGAAGGCACCGGAAUUGGCGGAGACGGCGGAGGAG